GGAACGUAAGAGGUGUGUUUUAGAAGAAUGUUGUGUCAUCGGUCUCACCAUAGACCCCAGGAAGGUAAAUAGAUGCAAGUUGGUGCCUUGAAGCCGCAUGAUGGAGGAGCUACUGACACCCGUCGGUGGAUGAUGAAUUAGUGCAGCACAGUUGGAGCUACUUGAGGGCUGCAGAUGCAAAUCUUAGAGCUGUUUCUACGUGUACUUGAGCACUGGAUGUAUCGUGGACAGUUUCGGGCUUCCCCUGCUAAAAGACAUCAAUGUACUGGGAGCUGAACGAAUGGACGUAUCCAGACUCCAGUGCUCCCUGACUCCAUCUCCCUGCAGCAGGAUGCUUCUGGACACAGGGCAGAUCUGAGCCUUCUCACCCCGCUGAAAACCAUUCCUCCUCGUCCUCUUCCUGCUCUCCCUGAUCAAGAGCCCCUCCCCAGCUUCUGGAGCCCCUUUCAGCACUGGGAGACUGCAACCAGGUCUUUCCAGAGCCUUCUCUUCUCCAGGCCAAACAAACCCAACUCUCUCAGCCUGACCCUCUGCCAGCUGUGGAAUUGGGAUGGCACCUUCAUCCCGGCACGCAGGGGCCACAGAUCACCAUCCUGGCAGCAAUUCCUACUCGAGUGGCACAGAAUACAAAAGCUGUUAACGGAAUGCAAGGAGUCUUAAGGCAAGGACACCUUUAAUGCGACAGUCACCGUUACCCAUGCGUUGCUAACGCCAAAUUGAAGCUCUGGAAAUCAGGAUUGCAAAGCGCAUUUUUGGAUGCCAUUCACGGAAAAAAAAAAAUGGCUAAAAGUUAAAACUUCAGAUCGAAGUAGGAAAGCUGCCUGGCAUUACACGAUAACAUGGUUUUAAGGCUAAUUCUAGAAGGAGAUAACAAGACUUCUGCCCCAUGCCAGAGCUGAGGCUUGGAUGCUGUUGGUGAUGCUUCACAAUCCAAGGGGACAUCUGACUCAGUCACUGUGCCUUUCCAGCGCUCCUGGUCUCAUUUAUGUCCAAACAGUCCUCUGAAGCUCAGAUAGAUAGAAAGAGGGACAUGAAAUACCAUCGCAGUCCUUUCAGGUGGCUCAAAUGCGCUUCAGAUUUGCAAGACCCCACUGUCCUUCCUCCAAGAAGCUCCAAGAUGUGCUUCCAAGCCAGCAUCUGGAAGGCAGGGAGAGAAGACACUAAGACCUCUGCCCAGGCAUUAAAUGGGAGUAAUGAAAUAGUCUGCUGCUGCCAGAUAAGAGGAGAGGGUUCCUUGGAGAGUCACUUUGGAUCUCCAGCUGCAGUAAUACGUUGUUCUGAAUCUCUAUCAGUGCACUUGUUGUGCAGCUGGAGAGUACGUCUGACAUUGCCUCCAGUGACCUUUUCAAUAUAGUCCAAGUGCUGCAGAGCUGGUGUUUCAAGAGGAAUUCAAAUCGAAUUUACUCAGGCAGAAAGGAUUGGCCCGAGGAUAGCCCUACCGCUCGCUUCACAUUUCUCCUUGUCAUUCUCAUGGAAAUUGCAAUUCUUUAUGCAUGGUGCUUCUUCCUAUGCCACUGCAAAUGUGUCCCUUGAAACAAGAGAAACGGCCACUGUGCUUUGAACGGAGGGUCCCCAUGGGCUGGCACUCACGGUGGGGUGUCGGGCGCUGCAGGUGAAGAGUGUUUGCAGGCAGUGCCAGCGGAAACAGAAAUCGGAGGGUGAAGGUGUGAACUUCCAACACAACCUGUCGAAAGGUUAUGCCGUGGCCGUGUGUGCCGGCACCCCAAAUUGGCUGCUGCAUGUCAAGCACCCGCCGUCGUGUUAAAAGACGCAGCUCAUGGCCACGAGAGGUGAGGAGCUGAAAUUUCUAUAAGCUGGGAGAGAAAUGAAUGGGAGAGAAAUGCAUUCAGGGCUCUGCAAGACAAGAGCAGAUAAGGAGCAACAUCUUGAGGAGAGAACAAGAACUUUGAGCCCAAGCUCUCCCACCUGCCUGUCUGCGGGGCAGGAGGAAGAAGAGACUGAAGGUGGAUCAUCCAAGGAAAUGCUCAGAAGAACGGGGCUUCCUGAGUGAACGCUGGACUGUUGGAAGCCUUGGGCCAUCCUGUGUCCAGCAUGCAUUGGCUGAAAAGGAAAUUUGCACACCUGACCUGCCCCUGAUUAACAACAGUGACUGGGGAAGAGCCAUUCACUGCCUGUUAGGACAGCAGAGCUCUCCUGAUGGCUUGGAGCAAGGAUGAAGAAUCCCAGAGAAGGCACAGUCAUAAUCUGUUUCAUUCAACCAUCAAGACACCCAGGUCCCUUUUAUCACCCUUAACUGGGGCACUGGACAUCAUUUUCACUAAGUGAACAAGUUCCAUAAGUUCUUCCAAAAUGCUAUUUUGAAGAAGAAAUGACUUCAUAGUUUCUCUAUGAAGAAUUGAAGAAAUUACUUCAUAGUUUCUCUGUGAAGAAGUGAAGAAAUUACUUCAUAGUUUCUCUCUGAAGAGUUUAGAAGUGGUGUAGAAAGUCAUUUAGAAUGGGGAAAAGGGGAAGGGGAAGAGAGAGAAGGUGUUGGUUUGGCACAAGUUGAGGCUCAGAUCAACUCCUGUGCACAUCAGAUCAAUGUGUGUGCUCUGAACUUGGGACCACCACCAGGAGCUGAGCCCCGGAUCCUCUGGAGGUUUUAAGGCAUUGGGUCUGCAGUAGACCAGCUCUUCUUCUGGUGGAUAUAGACUGCGUUUGCUGAAGCUGUGUGACCUGGAGGGGUUUAGAUAUUGCUUAUGUGCAGAAAAAAAACCAGUUCUCAGAGCCCAGCUGUGUUUCUACUGAACUCACCAGCAAAAUUAUGGUUUAAGGAGAGAGGUGGGGAUGGAGGAAAAUACAGACCAGGAGCUCCGAGUUCACUGUGUUGGUAGGAAAAGUGAGAAGGAGGAUGGUUUCCAGUGAACAUCUAUGGAUGUUAUACCACACCAGCCCUCGCCAGGGGAGGAAUACUCAUUGUGAAUGAUGCCCAACGCCCAGGUGAGAGGCUGGUGAGGAGCUGAUGGCUUCUCUCUCUGCUGCGGAGCAUGAUCCCCUGGGAGCCCACUUGUGACAUCUGGCCAAAUUUUGGUGAAGUCUGAAGAAAAUUGAGCCGCCUUCUUCAGCUGGAAUGAAAAGACUCAAAAGAGGAGUC